rnacentral:misc_RNA from 1 species
AACGCACAUUGCGCCCUUUGGUAUUCCUUAGGGCAUGCCUGUUCGAGCGUCAUCUAACCCUUCAAGCACUGCUUGGUGUUGGGCGUUUGUCCCGCCUUGGGCGCGGACUCGCCUCAAAGACAUUGGCGGCCUGUGUAUUGGCUUCGAGCGCAGCAGACUCGCGCGUCGACUCCUCUAGCACUAGGCGUCCAGCAAGCCUAUUAUCUCAAGUUUGACCUCGGAUCAGGUAGGGAUACCCGCUGAACUUAA